rnacentral:sRNA from 20 species
AUGCCUUAUGAUAAAACUACAUUAAUUUCAUUGUAAUUACCAAAAAAUAAUUAAAAAGGAAUUACGAUAUAAU